rnacentral:lncRNA from 1 species
ACUUAAUUGAACUUUCUGUUCCAGCUGGAAAAGGUUAUGGAUCUAGCGAGUGCAAACGGAAGGCAGGAUGAAAAGGUGGGGUACUGCAUUCAUGGGCCCCUUCCUCACACAGAGUGUGCAUGGCAGAGAGAAUCCAGGAAGAAAAGGCAAAUAUUUCUCGUGAGAAACUCCUGGUGCUGCAAAGGCAGCUCAGGAGGAGACUGGGAAAGCUGUCAGCACAGCUGCACAAGGAAGAUAAAGAGACAGGAACCACUGCCUGAGCAUAUCUACAACACAUCAAACAUCACCGAGUCAAUCAAAGCACCAUUAAUCCAUUGGACUCUGACCCUUCCUCUCGGAUGCUGCCAGAUCCAUCAGUUGGGGAUCAGAGGGAGAAAAGCAGGUUCUGGUCACCAGGAGAGCUAAACAAGAGCCUCUUCCAGCUCCCUGCCCUGCCUGGGAAUCUGGGCAGGCAGCUCAGUGCAUUUAGGCCACCCAAAAGUGUUGUUUAAAUGGGAUUUUAAGGAAUGAUGGCUUUGCCACUGGAGGAAUCAAGGCACAAAAAGUGCUGCUAGUACAAAAUCCUGUAGCACUGCUUUCCCUUCUCUUGCCUCCUCCAUCCCAGCAGUGUUCCACAGCUAGGAAUGUGAUCCCUGGGGGGAAAAAAACACCAGAUGACCAACAAAACAAAACAGACUCAAUAGUCAUUCAGCUUUACUUGAAUUUGGAGAGAAACAAUCAAGAGCCAGACACGCAAUUCCUAAAGAAAUGAGGGAAUAUCUGUGAGUUUUCUCUGCACCCUCUCCCUUGGGAUCAUUUUAAUAACUUCAGCUGAGAGCUGUGAUCUGUGCACGCCAGGGGAAAGGCUGCCCAUGCCUCAGACAGCUGGAUUCCAGCCCUUGCUGAGGAAUAAAAAUGCCAUUUUCCAAGAGAAGAUGUUGUCU